AUCCCUUGCGGUUAUACCUACGUUGUCACCACAUCGUCCACAUCUUAUGUUCAUAUAAAUUAAGUUAUUACAAGUUAGUACAGCUAUAAGUUAAUAGCAAAACUACAACGAGUACCUAGCAACUAUUAUUUGAAGAUUAUUCAAUACUAGCGGCCCACCCCGGCUUCGCACGGGUGCAAUGCUGAUAAUAAAUAUAAAAUAA